UUCUUGGAUUAUAGUUAAAUCUGUAGUUUUUAUUUGAUUGACAAAUUAAUGUUGCGGUCUUCUCACUAGUUGCCUGACACAGGAAGCUACCGCUAGUUAGCGAGCUUGCUAGGCUAUUGGGGAGUAGCGGUGUUGACACGUUUCAGUCACAGGAGGCAGUAACCAGACUAGAAGUGUAACCUGCCCGCUACGACAACAUGGGUAUCCUGGAGAAGAUAGGAGAGAUAGAGAGAUCUCUCGAACACAGAAAAACAAAGCCACAGAGUACCAUCUGGGCCUGCUGAAGGCUAAGCUAGCGAAGUACC